GGACCCGACUGCUAUCGGAUUGGGACUAAGCCAUGCGAGUCAACUCCGCAAGGGGUGGCGCACGGCUCAGUAACACGUAGUCAACCUACCCUAGGGACGGGGAUAACCUCGGGAAACUGAGGCUAAACCCCGAUAGGCUAUAACUUCUGGAAUGGGUUAUAGCUGAAAUCUAUAUGGCCCUAGGAUGGGACUGCGGCCGAUCAGGUUGUUGGUGGGGUAAUGGCCCACCAAGCCUAUAACCGGUGCGGGCUCUGAGAGGAGGAGCCCGGAGAUGGGCACUGAGACAAGGGCCCAGGUCCCUACGGGGCGCAGCAGGCGCGAUG
rnacentral:rRNA from 1 species